GAAGAUCAAUCAAUCCGGCACAAACAUCACCAUAAAAUCCGGCACAAACAUCACCAAAAUAGUCCAUUGCACACAAAUUUAAGGGAAGAUAAUAGCAAAUCAAUCAAACAAAAUGAUUGAAAAACAAAACCCUCCAAUUGAUUGCCAUUGUCAACCUCAUAUUGUUUAUGUUUUCAAUAGUGUAAACAGAGGUCAUAUUUUUAGCCCAGUACAAAAUUGAUUGCCUAAUGAAACUAUAAUAACUACAACAACCCAUUUUUGGGUGGAAGCACUUCUCACAAAGGAGAUGGUUGUGUGAGGAAGAAGACAGGCUGAAGUGAUGAAGUCAGGCAGCCUAAAAUAGUGUGAAUUCCAUGUAAAUUAAAGUCACAUGAGUUUUCAAGUCAAAAGGUCCUUAUUCAUUCUACUCUCUACAGUGUAAGAAUAGAUCGAGCAAUUUAUGUGCAGCAAAUUAUGUACCGCUAACUCAUGUCACCUUCUUAAAGAGAGCUUUUGAGGUAUAUGCUAAUCGCACCUCUGUUGUAUAUGCCCGAGCUAGAUUCACCUGGCAGCAAACUUAUCAGCGUUGCUGUCAACUCGCACCUCUGUUGUAUAUGCCCAAGUCUAGAACCUUGCUAGCAUGCAAUCUCUAGUACCAAGAUAACACUGCUUCAUUCAAAAAUUAUCUGCAAAUUCAAACGCAAAGUCACCAUUUGCAAAACACCCAAAACCAACAAACACCAUAGCCUAAACUUGUCAAAGUCCAAUCUCGACAUACCCACAUUUCCAACCAACUGAAACAGCAAACUUCCUAAAUCCAUCCAAAAAUUCAAAUCCAAAAUCAAGAACCCAAUUAGGGAAAACACCAAAAACAAUCAUAAGCCCCAACAAAAACCCUAGAAUCCCAAAUAGAACACUACCUACAUAUAUAUAGGAGAGAAAAAAAAUAAGUAAACUAAAAAAAUAAACACAUGUCACAAAUUGAAAGAACAGAUGCGAGAAGUAAAGGAAAAUUUGCAGAGAAAAAAUAAACUACUGAAGUUACUCAAAUUACUGAAGAGAAUUGAUUCAUAUUUUUCAUGUCUUCUCCACUCCGACCUCACCCCUUUUAUGCUACUGCUAACAAAUUUGGUGCACAGACCAAAGAAACCUAACCAACCAAAAUAAGACAUGUUGCUUACAACCACAACUAGCUAACCGACUCACUAACAAAUUAGUUGACUAAACGUUUCGUUCCAACUCCCUUCUUUCUACGGCUCAAUUCUGUGAUGUCCUGCUCCCAUUCUUGACAACACACUGAGAAAAAAGAACACGAAAUAAAUAACGAAUAAAUCCAGAUCGAAAAACACAAACAAUCACCGGAUCAAAAAUCACCAGAACUAAAAUCAGUUCAAGAUCUGAGAAAUGGAAAGAUGAAUAGGGAGAACAUAACAGAUCUGAACGCAUCCUCUUCCAAACCAUCAACCUCAUCAAAUCAUCAAGAUCUGAAACCCAAUCAGCCCAAACAAAGCCACCACUUCAGAUCAUAACUUCUAGGACCGAGAUUCAUCUUAAUCAAACCCUCUACUAAUCCGAACAGAGAAACCCCACAAUCUAAAAGCCCACGGACUUGGCUUAUCAUAGAUUAGAAAACGAAUUUCGGGAAGGUGCUUCAUUUCAGCCGUCAGAGGAGCAUGAAUAGCACCCAGCAUAAUAAAGAGGAGAGGAAGGAGAAGAGAUGGUGGGCCGAAGAGAAGGAAAGGGAGGGAGG
rnacentral:lncRNA from 1 species